CAGCCAUGGUGUGAAGCAACUGCUAACGUCAGCUAUUGCCCAUUUUACGGACGUGGAAACGGAGGUGACGGGGACCCAACUGCUGCCUAGACACUUACCAGUCAGUUUGCUGAUUGGCAACUUCACUUCACCUGUAAACUUCAUUCCCCUCUGACAAGUAAUGCAACGUAUUCCUGGGUUCCAGAGACUAUGACAACAACAUGUUUGAGGGGAGGCAUUAUUCUGCCGACCACAGAUCAUCCACGGUUGUGCUGUCCUCCAAACUCUGCUAAGAAGCUCCUCGGCGAGCCUUUCGUCCUAAGACAAGCUGUGCCCGUGGAUCUGUUCCCUCACACCCCGCACUGCGAACUCGUGCUUCUCUUCACUCGAUAAGCAGCCUCCUACAAGCCUGCAGGUUCUUUGUUAAGGCUGAAGUGUCAAGUAACUUGCAGGUUCGGCAUAUUGCUACCUCGCAGACCCUGAGAGCAUUACCAGGGAAACCAAUCUUUGGAUCCUGAGCAGGAAGAAUACAGUGGGUCUCCUACCUGAGGCUCAUUUCUAACCUUAGUUUUCAGGUUUGCUGGCUCUCUUGCAUGUUUGCCUGGUUGUGACCACUCCUUGGCCCUGGAUCUGGACUGUUCCUUCCUUUUGCUGUCAGCCUGUUAUGGCUCCCUUGAUCCUAGUCUAUAUAGUCUGUCUCCUCUGUCUGGCUCUGCCUGAGGUGGGGUGACAGCUGAGCUUUUCUCUGUAUCUGGUCAUAAUGUCACAUUGACCUGGGUUACUAUAUCUGCCCAGAAAUUUUACUAGAUGUGUUCUGCAUUCAUGAAGGAGACAAAGAUUAGAACUAGAAACAAGUCUAGCUUUUUUAAAAAGCAGAGUAAGCUUUGAAGCGAUUACAGAGUGACUGCGUGAUCUCAGUAGAGAUUCA